rnacentral:rRNA from 1 species
AUUGAACGCUGGCGGCAGGCCUAACACAUGCAAGUCGAACGAGUGGCGGACGGGUGAGUAAUGUCUGGGAAACUGCCUGAUGGAGGGGGAUAACUACUGGAAACGGUAGCUAAUACCGCAUCCUAUCGGAUGUGCCCAGCUGGGAUUAGCUAGUAGGUGGGGUAAAGGCUCACCUAGGCGACGAUCCCUAGCUGGUCUGAGAGGAUGACCGGCCACACUGGAACUGAGACACGGUCCAGACUCCUACGGGAGGCAGCAGUGGGGAAUAUUGCACAAUGGGCGCAAGCCUGAUGCAGCCAGGCCGCGUGUAUGAAGAAGGCCUUCGGGUUGUAAAGUACUUUCAGCGGGGAGGCGUUACCCGCAGAGGAAGCACCGGCUAACUCCGUGCCAGCCGCCGCGGUAAUAC